GAUGAACGCUGGCGGCGUGCCUAAUACAUGCAAGUCGAGCGAACAGACGAGGAGCUUGCGCCUUUGACGUUAGCGGCGGACGGGUGAGUAACACGUAGGUAACCUACCUAUAAGACUGGGAUAACUUCGGGAAACCGGAGCUAAUACCGGAUAAUAUUCCGAACCGCAUGGUUCGAUAGUGAAAGAUGGCUUUGCUAUCACUUAUAGAUGGACCUGCGCCGUAUUAGCUAGUUGGUAAGGUAACGGCUUACCAAGGCAACGAUACGUAGCCGACCUGAGAGGGUGAUCGGCCACACUGGAACUGAGACACGGUCCAGACUCCUACGGGAGGCAGCAGUAGGGAAUCUUCCGCAAUGGGCGAAAGCCUGACGCAGCAACGCCGCGUGAGUGAUGAAGGUCUUCGGAUCGUAAAGCUCUGUUAUUAGGGAAGAACAACCGUGUAAGUAACUGUGCACGUCUUGACGGUACCUAAACAGAAAGCAACGGCUAACUACGUG
rnacentral:rRNA from 1 species